AACUCUGCAAUGAGAGAACGUUGAGGAAUCUGUAUUGUGUACAACAAAUCAAAAACUAACAAAUUGCCCUUCGGACGUGCAUUAAGUCAAAACUGGAUAUUUCUAUUUUGGGCUUGGGGUUACCCGUAGGUAAGGAGAUUUCCCCACUCUCCCAUUGAUAACGCACUGCGUAUGAUUAAUAAUCGGCCCAGCUGUUAGAUGCACACUUUACACUCCGCUGCAGUCCACGACGUAAAUGAGAGUAAAUGAGGUGAAUAAAACUCAGCAAAACUUAUUAAACAGAGCUGCGUUAUCGGUGCAAAAGCUCGUUUGCCAUUCAGUUUCUCUCAGAACGUCAACGAGCACAGAACGUGUCGCGCGCAUUGCAGUUAAGAAAAGAAAAGAAUAAGAGCCAAGUAUAGAGUGAGAGAGUGAGAGAGAGAUUGACUGGGAGACAGUGCGAAACCAAAAGGAUUGUGAGCGAAAGCGAGAAGGCGAAAAUGGGCUUGUUUAGCAAAAAGAAGCCCAGCAAUGAUAGCGCCAGCUCGGAUUCCAAUAACGACCAGGCCCUAGCGCGGCAGGAUCCACGCACUCGGGUGCAGACGAGGAGCGCUGCCAGCGUGACGACCAACACGGCUGUGCAGAACUCCACGAUCAUUGAUAGCAACGCAAAUACAGUAACGUAUCGGUCGACCACACAGACAGUGACUCACAGCCAGAAAGCGUGUGUGACGGAAAUGAUAACGCGCCGCACGCCGAGCCAGGCCGAACUGGAGGAGCUGAUGGCACAGCUGAGGACGGGCAGCCGGGCGGGUAGCAACUCGACCUCCACAACGACAAGCAGCAGCAACAAACGCGUUAGUCCAACCAGUCUGAAUGGCGUGGCUUUGCGUUCGACCACAUCGUUCAAGCCCAACGCGGAGGCCAGGAGAUCCAGCACUCUGGUCAAGUCGGAGCAAACAUCUGUGUCGCAGAAGAAGGGACGCACUGUCACUCAGCAUGUGGAAACCCAACGGGUGGUGCUGAGUCCCAGCAGCAAGACUAGCUGGCCGCCCAAGACUACUGCCUCAACUUCUGGCGCCAGCACAUCUGCAUACAAGCCGUAUGUGUCGCCAUUCGCGCUAAAGCCAAUCGAUUCAACCUAUGUAUCGCCCUAUGCAUCAAAGACGACCACUGGAAUCGGCUCUGCUUUCUCUAAGCCCUCGGUAGUUACGUCGUCAGCGCUGCCCAAGACUUCGGCUAGCAGUUCUUUUUCCUCCAAGCCCACAACAACCAGCUUUGUGCUCCCGAAGCCUUCAUCUGCGAGCUCCGUGUUGUCCAAGUCUACCUCAAGCAGCACUGCUCUUGGUACAAUGCUGCCGACCCCAAAGACAACAGUUGGAAAGCCUUUUAUAAGCCUUAAUCCAACCAAAGCCAAAGCAACUACGAGCACCUUAGAUGCACAUGGUGAACUGAAUCCUACAAAGUCCGGGUAUGGCCCAAUACCUAAAGUUAAGCCGGUUCCGAAGAAAAAACUGAAGCCCGCAGAGGUUAUUAUCUUCAACAAUGAGCGUUUCGACAACAGCAAUGAGUUCCGUUCGGGAAGCGCCAAGGAUGUCGAGUCGUUGGAGAAAACUUUUGGCACACUACUCAAGUGUAAGGUGAAGACUAUGACGAAUCCAACGGUCAAUGACAUCAGAAACACUGUGGAAAAAUUGGAACAGAAAAACUUUGAGGAUCGCUCAGCACUGGUGCUGGUCAUAUUGAGUCACGGUCAGCGAUAUGAAACGAUAGCCGCCAAGGAUGGGGACUACAAGCUGGAUGAUGAUAUAAUUUUUCCGAUAUUGCGCAAUCAGACGUUGGCCAACAAGCCAAAGAUCCUAUUCGUCCAGGCGUGCAAGGGCUCCAGGGAGUUGGGCAAAUUCAAAACAGAUGCCAUCAAGCCACAUGGUAAUCCUAGCGAGAUUCUCAAAUGCUACAGUACCUAUGAGGGGUACGUCUCCUAUCGCUUGGACACCGGCACGCCCUUUAUUCAAACACUGUGUGAUACAUUAAAGGCAAAACCCAAUGUGGACAUUGAAACUAUUAUGAAAGAUGUCAUGAAUCUGGUCAAAAGCUAUACUCAGGGCAGUCAGGUACCAUCGGUAACCAGCACAAUGACCACCAAAUAUGUUUUCGGGGAUUACCUUUGAACGGCCUCAGUUAAUAUUUAAAGAUGUUGCGGGCUUGGCAAAGGCAUAUAUCAAAUCAAUAAAUAUUGUCUUCAUUGCAGGGGUCGGCCAGUAUCAUCGGUAGCAAGUGGAAUGUUAUUUGGAUUGGAGAUGGUUACCGUCAAGUAUUGAACAUAUUCUUGCCUUGUGAUCAUGUCGAAGAUAUAGCCAAAUCGUAUUACCUGUAGACGGACCUAGAGCCAAUAAGCAAAAGAGACUGUAUACUGAUUAUAAUAUGUAUUCAUUUGUAGGAUAUUCUGCGAAGAAAAAAACCUACAAACAGC